rnacentral:rRNA from 1 species
UACGUAGGUGGCGAGCGUUGUCCAGAUUUACUGGGCGUAAAGGGAGCAUAGGCGGACUUUUAAGUGAGAUGUGAAAUACCCGGGCUCAACUUGGGUGCUGCAUUUCAAACUGGAAGUCUAGAGUGCAGGAGAGGAGAAUGGAAUUCCUAGUGUAGCGGUGAAAUGCGUAGAGAUUAGGAAGAACACCAGUGGCGAAGGCGAUUCUCUGGACUGUAACUGACGCUGAGUCACGAAAGCGUGGGUAGCAAACAGGAUUA